rnacentral:rRNA from 1 species
GACGAACGCUGGCGGCGUGCUUAACACAUGCAAGUCGAACGGAAAGGCCCUGCUUUUGUGGGGUGCUCGAGUGGCGAACGGGUGAGUAACACGUGAGUAACCUGCCCUUGACUUUGGGAUAACUUCAGGAAACUGGGGCUCAUACCGGAUAGGAGCUCCUGCUGCAUGGUGGGGGUUGGAAAGUUUCGGCGGUUGGGGAUGGACUCGCGGCUUAUCAGCUUGUUGGUGGGGUAGUGGCUUACCAAGGCUUUGACGGGUAGCCGGCCUGAGAGGGGGACCGGCCACAUUGGGACUGAGAUACGGCCCAGACUCCUACGGGAGGCAGCAGUGGGGAAUAUUGCACAAUGGGCGGAAGCCUGAUGCAGCAACGCCGCGUGCGGGAUGACGGCCUUCGGGUUGUAAACCGCUUUCGCCUGUGACGAAGCGUGAGUGACGGUAAUGGGUAAAGAAGCACCGGCUAACUACGUG